UACAGAGGUCUCAAGCGUUGUUCGGAAUUACUGGCGUAAAGCGUGCGUAGGCGGCGGGGUAAGUCGGGUGUGAAAUCUCGGGGCUCAACUCCGAAAUUGCAUUCGAUACUGCCUUGCUCGAGCACUGGAGAGGAGGCUGGAAUUUACGGUGUAGCAGUGUAAAUGCGUAGAUAUCGUAAGGAAGGCCAGUGCGAAAGCGAGCCUCUGGACAGUUGCUGACGCUGUGGCACGAAGGCUAGGGGGAGCAAACGGG
rnacentral:rRNA from 1 species